rnacentral:rRNA from 1 species
AUUGAACGCUGGCGGCAGGCCUAACACAUGCAAGUCGAACGGUAACAGGAAGCAGCUUGCUGCUUUGCUGACGAGUGGCGGACGGGUGAGUAAUGUCUGGGAAACUGCCUGAUGGAGGGGGAUAACUACUGGAAACGGUAGCUAAUACCGCAUAACGUCGCAAGACCAAAGAGGGGGACCUUCGGGCCUCUUGCCAUCGGAUGUGCCCAGAUGGGAUUAGCUAGUAGGUGGGGUAACGGCUCACCUAGGCGACGAUCCCUAGCUGGUCUGAGAGGAUGACCAGCCACACUGGAACUGAGACACGGUCCAGACUCCUACGGGAGGCAGCAGUGGGGAAUAUUGCACAAUGGGCGCAGCCUGAUGCAGCCAUGCCGCGUGUAUGAAGAAGGCCUUCGGGUUGUAAAGUACUUUCAGCGGGGAGGAAGGGAGUAAAGUUAAUACCUUUGCUCAUUGACGUUACCCGCAGAAGAAGCACCGGCUAACUCCGUG